AGAGUUUGAUCCUGGCUCAGGACGAACGCUGGCGGCGUGGAUUAGGCAUGCAAGUCGAACGGUAUGGUGCUUUCGGGCAUCAGAGAGUGGCGAACGGGUGAGUAACACGUAGGUUAUCUACCCUCAAGACGGGGACAACCCAGGGAAACUUGGGCUAAUACCGGAUGAAAGCAACCGUGAGGUUGUUUAAAAGAUGGCUUUAAGCUGUCGCUUGGGGAUGAGCCUGCGUCCUAUUAGUUAGUUGGUGAGGUAACGGCUCCCCAAGGCAACGAUAGGUAGGCGGCCUUAACGGGUGGUCGCCCACACUGGGAUUGAGAAACGGCCCAGACUCCUACGGGAGGCAGCAGUCGAGAAUAGUCUACAAUGGCCGAAAGGCUGAUAGUGCGACGCCGCGUGAACGAGGAAUCCCUUCGGGGUGUAAAGUUCUUUUAUAUGUGAGCAGUGCCGGCUAUAUUAAUAGUAUAGUUGGAGAGAUAUUAGCAUAUGAAUAAGCAACGGCUAACUCCGUGCCAGCAGCCGCGGUAACACGGGGGUUGCAAGCGUUGUCCGGAAUUACUAGGCGUAAAGGGCAGGCAGGCGGACCUGCAAGUUUUCUGUUAAAGACGUCAGCUCAACUGGCGCACGGCAGGAGAUACUGCAGGUCUUGAAUGCGGUUGGGGAAGACAGAAUUCCUGGUGUAGCGGUGGAAUGCGCAGAGAUCAGGAGGAAUACCAAAGGCGAAGGCAGUCUUCCAAGCCGUUAUUGACGCUGAACUGCGAAGGUGUGGGUAUCAAACAAGAUUAGAUACCCUGGUAGUCCACACAGU
rnacentral:rRNA from 1 species